rnacentral:piRNA from 1 species
GAUCUAUUUCAUUAGGAGGUGA